rnacentral:rRNA from 1 species
AUUGAACGCUGGCGGCAUGCUUUACACAUGCAAGUCGAACGGCAGCGCGGGCUUCGGCCUGGCGGCGAGUGGCGAACGGGUGAGUAAUGCAUCGGAACGUGCCCAGUAGUGGGGGAUAGCCCAGCGAAAGCCGGAUUAAUACCGCAUACGACCUGAGGGUGAAAGCGGGGGACCGAAAGGCCUCGCGCUAUUGGAGCGGCCGAUGUCGGAUUAGCUAGUUGGUGGGGUAAAGGCUUACCAAGGCGACGAUCCGUAGCUGGUCUGAGAGGACGACCAGCCACACUGGGACUGAGACACGGCCCAGACUCCUACGGGAGGCAGCAGUGGGGAAUUUUGGACAAUGGGGGCAACCCUGAUCCAGCCAUGCCGCGUGCGGGAAGAAGGCCUUCGGGUUGUAAACCGCUUUUGUUCGGGAAGAAAUCCUCUGGGCUAAUACCCCGGGAGGAUGACGGUACCGGAAGAAUAAGCACCGGCUAACUACGUG